rnacentral:lncRNA from 12 species
CCCCACUCCUCUCCCCACCUACCACCUUCGACCAUUUUAAUGCUAGAUGGGACUCCUGUGGAAAUGGUGGACUGUAGGUCUUGGGGGAGGAGGGAAGAUGGGCGAAUUUGAAGCAGAGGGAGAGAGAAAGAGAUAAUUCCCCAAAGAAGGAGAAAUGGUCGAUUAACCCCUAAGGGGUGGUCCUCCCAGGCGAUCCAAGAAAGCCUAAUAGCAACUGCAGGGAGAAGAUAACAAUUCUAUUGUCUCUGAUUGGCAAAUACGAAAAAAGAUUGACAGUAUCAAGUGGAGGGAAUGCAGGGGGCGGGCUGCAGUGUUAAAUGGGAGGGGUAACUGAAGACUGGAGCUCAUUGAUGACGCGAUCUUCACGUGACCAGGAGUCGACGUGUGCAGAAGUCCUUAUAGUCCAGGGCCUGUUUCCCAGUAGCAGCUCCGUAUUACUGGAGGAAAGUGCCCCGGAUCCUUUCAGGAUUAUUCAAAAGAAAUACCAGAAAAAUAUUCAACAUGCAAAAGUCUUGUGAAGAAAAUGAAGGAAAACCACAGAACAUGCCAAAGACCGAGGCAGACCGCCCUUCAGAAGAUGUACCACAGGAGGGAGAAGGAAAUCCUCAACCUUCUGAAGAAGGUGUAAGCCAGGAAGCAGAAGGAAAUCUUAGAGGAGGGCUGAUUCAACCUGGCCCAGGGUUUAAAGAGGACACUCCUGUGAGGCAUUUGGACCCUGAAGAAAUGAUAAGAGGAGUAGAUGAGUUGGAAAGGCUUAGGGAAGAGAUAAGAAGAGUAAGAAACAAGUUUGUGAUGAUGCAUUGGAAGCAAAGACAUUCACGUAGCCGUCCUUAUCCUGUGUGCUUUAGGCCUUGAAUUCUUUUUUGUCUGAUAUUAAAAUCUGGCCCCUGCUUUCUUUCUGUUAGCGUUUUCUGAUGUAUCUCUGACCUUUGUUUUACCUUUAAUCAUCUGGUGGAAUUUUGUUUUAGGUAGCUUCCUUGUUACCACCAUC